AGCUAAAAUCUCCCAUUGCUGCAUUGAACAUGUACAUCAUGAUUGUGCCUACUGCAACAGACAGAGAAGUUUGUGCUUUCUACAUUUUACGCCAAAAUCUUAAAAGGGAAGUUCAUCUAUUUUUAACCUUAAGAUGUUACCAGAUUUUCUUUCAAAACUCUCUGGUUCCUUUCUUUACACAAUCCAGCAUAUGCAGGACGGAUUUGUGUCCCGAUGUUCUUUCUCUCAUUGUUUAGGACAUUUUAUUAAUACCAGCACUGCAUUAAUUCUUUUGCUGUUCUUGGCACUACCCCUCUUAUCAUUGAAUAUAGUCAGGAGUAACUGCCUAGAUGAAGCUAUUACGGGCAAUGUAUGAAAAGAUGAUUUGUAAUUUCUGCAUUCAGACAAAUGACAUCUGUUACAUAUAGUCAUUCCUCUUCUCUGUAGAUUAUCCUGGGUAAGGGGCAGCUUCAGGGUCCAACAUCAAGUGAAAAAGUGCCACUACCUGGUGCUUUGUUU
rnacentral:misc_RNA from 1 species